rnacentral:rRNA from 1 species
CUACCAGACUCCUACGGGAGGCAGCAGUGAGGAAUAUUGGUCAAUGGGCGGGAGCCUGAACCAGCCAAGUCGCGUGAGGGAAGACGGUCCUAUGGAUUGUAAACCUCUUUAGGCGGGGAGCAAUGCUGGGCACGCGUGCCCGGAGGGAGAGUACCCGCAGAAUAAGCAUCGGCUAACUCCGUGCCAGCAGCCGCGGUAAUACGGAGGAUGCGAGCGUUAUCCGGAUUUAUUGGGUUUAAAGGGGGCGUAGGCGGAUUGUUAAGCCGGGGGUAAAAUGUCCGGGCUCAACCCGGGCCGGCCGUUAAAACUGGGGACCUUGAGUGGGCGGGAAGUAUGCGGAAUGCGUGGGGUAGCGGGGAAAUG